rnacentral:rRNA from 1 species
AUUGAACGCUGGCGGCAGGCCUAACACAUGCAAGUCGAACGGUAACAGGAAGAAGCUUGCUUCUUUGCUGACGAGUGGCGGACGGGUGAGUAAUGUCUGGGAAACUGCCUGAUGGAGGGGGAUAACUACUGGAAACGGUAGCUAAUACCGCAUAACGUCGCAAGACCAAAGAGGGGGACCUUCGGGCCUCAUGCCAUCGGAUGUGCCCAGAUGGGAUUAGCUAGUAGGUGGGGUAACGGCUCACCUAGGCGACGAUCCCUAGCUGGUCUGAGAGGAUGACCAGCCACACUGGAACUGAGACACGGUCCAGACUCCUACGGGAGGCAGCAGUGGGGAAUAUUGCACAAUGGGCGCAAGCCUGAUGCAGCCAUGCCGCGUGUAUGAAGAAGGCCUUCGGGUUGUAAAGUACUUUCAGCGGGGAGGAAGGGAGUAAAGUUAAUACCUUGGCUCAUUGACGUUACCCGCAGAAGAAGCACCGGCUAACUCCGUG